UUACAUUUUCACUGUAAAAAUAAAAAACUUCUUUUUUAUAAAUAUUAUUUAAAGAUAAAUUUAUCUC
rnacentral:tRNA from 1 species